GGGACUACUGGGGUUUCUAAUCCUGUUUGCUCCCCACGCUUUCGCGUCUCAGCGUCAGUCAUCGUCCAGAAGGCCGCCUUCGCCACCGAUGUUCCUCUCGAUAUCUACGAAUUUCACCUCUACACCGAGAAUUCCGCCUUCCUCUCCGAAACUCGAGCUUGGAAGUUUCGAAUGCACUUCCUAGGUUGAGCCCAGGGCUUUCACAUCCGACUUUCCAAGCAGCCUACACGCGCUUUACGCCCAGUAAUUCCGAACAACGUUUGCACCCUCUGUCUUACCGCGGCGGCUGACAC
rnacentral:misc_RNA from 1 species